rnacentral:rRNA from 1 species
GACGAACGCUGGCGGCGUGCUUAACACAUGCAAGUCGAACGGAAAGGCCCUGCUUUUGUGGGGUGCUCGAGUGGCGAACGGGUGAGUAACACGUGAGUAACCUGCCCUUGACUUUGGGGUAACUUCAGGAAACUGGGGCUAAUACCGGAUAUGAGCUCCUGCUGCAUGGGGGGGGUUGGAAAGUUUCGGCGGUUGGGGAUGGACUCGCGGCUUAUCAGCUUGUUGGUGGGGUAGUGGCUUACCAAGGCUUUGACGGGUAGCCGGCCUGAGAGGGGGACCGGCCACAUUGGGACUGAGAUACGGCCCAGACUCCUACGGGAGGCAGCAGUGGGGAAUAUUGCACAAUGGGCGGAAGCCUGAUGCAGCAACGCCGCGUGCGGGAUGACGGCCUUCGGGUUGUAAACCGCUUUCGACUGUGACGAAGAGUGAGUGACGGUAAUGGGUAAAGAAGCACCGGCUAACUACGUG